rnacentral:rRNA from 3 species
AAUGUGCCUUCGGGAACCGUGAGACAGGUGCUGCAUGGCUGUCGUCAGCUCGUGUUGUGAAAUGUUGGGUUAAGUCCCGCAACGAGCGCAACCCUUAUCCUUUGUUGCCAGCGGUCCGGCCGGGAACUCAAAGGAGACUGCCAGUGAUAAACUGGAGGAAGGUGGGGAUGACGUCAAGUCAUCAUGGCCCUUACGACCAGGGCUACACACGUGCUACAAUGGCGCAUACAAAGAGAAGCGACCUCGCGAGAGCAAGCGGACCUCAUAAAGUGCGUCGUAGUCCGGAUUGGAGUCUGCAACUCGACUCCAUGAAGUCGGAAUCGCUAGUAAUCGUGGAUCAGAAUGCCACGGUGAAUACGUUCCCGGGCCUUGUACACACCGCCCGUCACACCAUGGGAGUGGGUUGCAAAAGAAGUAGGUAGCUUAACCUUCGGGAGGGCGCUUACCACUUUGUGAUUCAUGACUGGGGUGAAGUCGUAACAAGGUAACCGUAGGGGAACCUGCGGUUGGAUCACCUCCUUACCUUAAAGAAGC